rnacentral:rRNA from 1 species
ACACUCCUACGGGAGGCAGCAGUGGGGGAUAUUGGACAAUGGGCGCAAGCCUGAUCCAGCCAUGCCGCGUGAGUGAUGAAGGCCCUAGGGUUGUAAAGCUCUUUCACCGGUGAAGAUAAUGACGGUAACCGGAGAAGAAGCCCCGACUAACUUCGUGCCAGCAGCCGCGGUAAUACGAAGGGGGCUAGCGUUGUUCGGAUUUACUGGGCGUAAAGCGCACGUAGGCGGACUAUUAAGUCAGGGGUGAAAUCCCGGGGCUCAACCCCGGAACUGCCUUUGAUACUGGUAGUCGUGAGUUCGAGAGAGGUGAGUGGAAUUCCGAGUGUAGAGGUGAAAUUCGUAGAUAUUCGGAGGAACACCAGUGGCGAAGGCGGCUCACUGGCUCGAUACUGACGCUGAGGUGCGAAAGCGUGGGGAGCAAACAGGAUUAGAAACCCGUGUAGUCCCA